GACGAACGCUGGCGGCGUGCUUAACACAUGCAAGUCGAACGAAGCGGCGCACGGGUGAGUAACGCGUAAUCAACUGGCCAUUCAGAGGGGGACAACAGUUGGAAACGACUGCUAAUACACCAAACUGACGGACGGGAAUGUGUCUGAUUAGAUAGUUGGAGGGGGAACGGCCCACCAAGGCGCUGGUAAGUAGCCGGUCUGAGAGGAUGAACGGCCACAUUGGGACUUGGACACGGCCCAGAUCGCUACGGGAGGCAGCAGUGGGGAAUCUGCCGCAAUGGACGAAAGUCUGACGGAGCAACGCCGCGUGAGUGAUGACGGCCUUCGGGUUGUAAAGCUCUGUUAAUCGGGGCGCGGUACCGGAAUAGAAAGCCACGGCUAACUACGUGCCAGCAGCCGCGGUAAUAC
rnacentral:rRNA from 1 species